UCUUUCUGUGGAAGCGUUUGA
rnacentral:piRNA from 1 species